GUCCCCGUCGACUAGCGGUUAGGUCACGGCCCUUUCAAGGCCGUAGCACGGGUUCGAUUCCCGUCGGGGACACCA
rnacentral:tRNA from 1 species